ACCAUUUCCGGAGACCUUCUCCCCUACCUCACCUCGCUCAUCAACGCAUCCUUGACCGCUGGCUACGUCCCUUCCGUCUUCAAGAGAGCGAGAGUUGCACCCCUUCUGAAAAAACCUACACUCGAUCCCUCCGAUGUCAACAACUACAGACCUAUCUGCUGCCUUUGAUACCGUGAACCAUCAGAUCCUCCUCUCCACCCUCUCCGAGCUGGGCAUCUCCGGCACCGCGCACGCUUGGAUUGCGUCCUACCUGACAGGUCGCUCCUACCAGGUGGCGAAUCGCAUCUCUGCAUGUCUGGCAGACAUAUCAGUGUG
rnacentral:lncRNA from 1 species